UGGGGAAUCUUGCGCAAUGGGCGAAAGCCUGACGCAGCAACGCCGCGUGAGCGAAGACGGCCUUCGGGUUGUAAAGCUCUGUCAGGAGGGACGAAGCCACUCGGGUGAAUAGCCCAGAGGGUGACGGUACCUCCAAAGGGAGCCCCGGCUAACUACGUGCCAGCAGCCGCGGUAAUACGUAGGUGGCAGGCGUUACUCGGAUUGAUUGGGUGUAAAGGGUGUGUAGGUGGCGUACUAAGUCGAAUGUGAAAGCCCGUGGCUCAACCACGGAAUUGCAUUCGAAACUGGUAUGCCUGAGCGACUGAGAGGUAGAUGGAAUUCCCGGUGUAACAGUGAAAUGUGUAGAUAUCGGGAGGAACACCAGUGGCGAAGGCGAUCUACUGGCAGUCUGCUGACACUGAAACACGAGAGCUAGGGGAGCAAACA
rnacentral:rRNA from 1 species